CAUAGAUUCUGAGAAAUAUAUUCUGUAUUUGGGCACUUAGAAUAUGUGGAGAUAGUAGUGCAACCGGCUAUUA
rnacentral:ncRNA from 2 species